UCGACUCGAACGAUGCUGAUUUCAGACUUAGAAGAAUUCGAAUUCUGAAAUCUGAUUUUUAUUCUGUCUUGAUGGCACUGUUUGAGAUACUUAGAGAUUGAAUCAAGGUUUGGUUUAAAUAAAAUAUUUGUUGUAUAACACAUGUUCUACAAAUUUUAUUAAAGGUCAAACCUCAUAUCUUGAAUAUAAAUAAAAGUUUCACUUUGGUCAAGGUAGCAUCAUUAUAAUGCUUCAAACUAUAUUUUUAAGGCAAUCAGGGUAUUUUCUCGGUAUUUCCUUGGCAUUUUCUCUACAUGAACCCUUAAUAACUUUUGUUGUAGAGUUGAUUUAGAGUGUUUUGGGAAAGUUGCCAUAACUUGUUUGAAUUUCUAAAUUUGCUUUUACUUAAUCGAGCAGUCUCAGGUAAGCGUAGGAUUUAUAAUUUCACACGAAUAUUUGGUUCAAACUUUAAGAAAUCUUUAGAAUACGCUUGAUAGAUAGAGAUGGAUGAUGACAUAAAUAUAACAAGCUGAAUUGCAUAAUAAAUAAUUAGAGGUUGACACUAUAGAGAUUUCACUGAAGAAUGCGGAUUCGAAUUAAGUAUUUGGACGUAGACCGACUAUCGAGAAAGCGGAUUCGGACAUAGAUCGGAUAAUAUCACAACUGUUAAGAGUCCAAAUAAAUGAGUCUGGACAAGAGUUAUGAGGCGAUAUUGACUUUCGAAUUUGCAUUUGCUCCGAGAAAUAAAAGUUUUAACAGGCUCCAAAUUUGGUUGUUCUUGAGAUCGAAUAAUUCCAAAUUUGGUGAAACAUUCAUGAGUAACUUGAUGAAUGAAGAUAGAUGUGAUAAAGAGAUAGAAAUUUUCACUGAGCAUCCGAGAUUAGGAUAAAUCUCCCGACAUAACGCGAAAUAGACACCUGGGGUGUCACAGCCUUCCCCCCUUAAAAGAAUCUCGUCCCGAGAUUCGAAUGAGGAUCUUCAAGGGUGGAGAAGCAUGUAACUCCCAAGCUGAAGAUAGAUGCAAAUUCAUGAAAUGUCAUCUGACAAGAUACUGAAAAUAGAUUUGGACGUAAUACCGUGACAUAUUGAGACAAAAUGCCACGACCACUUUGAGAGAGUGUUCACAAAACACAGCACAUCGGUGUAGUUCCAUAAUGGAUCACGACUAUUAACCGCGAUACCAGCGCGUGCCGAGUAGCUCAACCAUGUGUGCACCAUAGUAGGCUCUCGGUUUCAUCGCGGCACCAUCAGUCAUUGGUCAUAAUACCAUUACCAAACACAACAAAUGAGAAAUUCACAUAGCAUAGAUAGAUGGAGCCCGUGAGAGUAUGGCUCAGAAAAUAAGAAUGUGACCGGAGUUGAAGCAGAGAUUGUUGGCAAAAGAGCAUCACAUGAGAAUUUUCUUCAACUUAGAGAACUAUUUUAUGAUCAACACGGAGAUUACCAGGCCAGAGAUUAGUACGAGAUGGGAUACCAGAAGGAAGCACUCAAGAGAUCAUGAUUACUGAGCUUCUCAGAGACAUUAGAGAACCACAAGAUAACAACAAAAUCCCUUGAUCCAAAUGGAUACAUUGUCUAUAGAUAAAACCGAUAAAGCAACGUCAUGAUCAUCGGAGAGAAGAGUAUGAGAACGAUCAUAAUGAGAUAUGAGACAGAUCCAUAUUUAAUACUUGAGAGUGGGUUAUAGAAGAUAACAAGAUGACGGGGUAGAUCUCGAUGAAUGAUCCAGAGAUUCGUAUGAUAAAGCCACAACAUGAUUCACAGGGAAAAGAUUACCAGAUUUAGGUGAAAAAGAGAGGUCAUCAACCCAGAUGGCUUCUAGGUUGAGCAGAGGAGAAUUUAAAGAGGCUUCUGGACAAGAUUUCCAAAAAGAAUUUGAGACUGGAUAUUGUUUUGCGCAAUAGACACCAACCAAAGUUUUAUAUAAUUUUUUUAACAUAAACAAGUGCACAAGGAGGCUUUAGGCGAUCUAGUGGUCAAGCUAAAGAGAUCUACAAGCUGUGUAGGUGUAACUUCAAGGGUGAAACACGCAAGGGUUCAAAAAACACUAACACCAACACAAGCAUAUGAUAAUUUUUUUAAAAGGUUUUACUUGCUAACCAAAAGGCUAUUUGGGGGGGGUCUUUUCAUGAGCAGAACAUACAACAUUUUUUGUAAAAAGGGUUGAACAAUACAAUACCACCUAGAUAGCAAGACAAGAGAAACACAUAACACGACCUAACAAGACUUACCAAUCUGACACGAGGUAAGACAUUUCUAACAUAGAAGUACAUCACAUUAUUCACAAGUUCUUAUUAUUGGAAUAAAGGUGAGAGAAGCAUGUUGGUGCACAAGAGACAAUUAUAAUGCGACAAUCAUGAUGCAUGCUCAUUCUAGUCGUCUUCUCAGACCUAACUACUUUUCGAGUGCUUCUACAACAUCCUUAUUAAUAGUAGUAGUAGCCUUUAGGGCCUAUAUAAAUAGCCACCUAGCUACCCAUCUAUUUCCUAAGGCUUCACGUCCUAGGUCUAUCCUUAUCGUCCUGAUAUCUAUACAACUUUGGUUUCUAAGCAAGUUUUACUUUAGAAAAGGUUGGUAAUCAUGACUUAUUGACUUCUCUGUACUGGUAUUCGCUCCGAUACCAGCUGUGGCGGAACCGCCCGAAUUAUUCCAGCGUGAGUGCCCAAAUCUCGUCUUAGGGGCAACGACGCACUUAAAUUGGAAUAACCCGUCAGUCCCUCGGAUCUAGUCCGAUAAAGCCACUUAUCCAGGAUCGAAUACCACUAGCUCACUCGAAGGUGAGGCACAGAGAAAUACAAUAAAGCAUAAUACCACAAAUUUAAGAAGUAUUAAUAGUGAUUACAUUAUCGGAGUUUCAAAAGCAGUAACAAUAGUUUUUAGUGCAGCGGAAAUAACUAACGGAGAAAACCGAGUAUCAUGGCGAAGCCUGGCCACGCUACUCCUCCUGGUCCUCUCCUACGGAAACAGUAACCCACUCAACCGUCUAUCCCGGUGGCAGGGAUGAAGGCUAAGUCACACCAUCAACCAAAUCAAGGAGGUACCUGCAAAAAUUAUGCCACAAGCAAGGCUGAGUAUACUAAUACUCAGCUAGACUUACUCGGUGUGAGGAGUCUACUCCUCUACCUCUAGACAUGCAGCUGUUUGGCUGAGGGGUUUGGUUUGCCAAAAGCACUAGCUGAGUCUAACAUCAAGUUUUAGCUUUUCAAGUUCUAGAAUAAUAACUUAGACUAGAUGAGAACCUAUCUAUUCAUACAUGAUAUCAAACAUUAUAUCAAUCAACAUCUUUUGCCAGUAUCUCAUUUCCACUUAUUACUCAAUGCAGUACAAUGGAUCAAGCAGUCUCAUUAGCUGCGAGAAGCAGACGAUUCGAAUCGAGUUUUAACCUUGCAAGGUAAACCUAAACACACGACAUGUCAGGGCACUCCGUCCCCACACAUGUCAACCGUCCCCAUCGAUUCCCCGUUCGCGUCCAGGCCUCACCGCCUUGGCAUACAAUGCUCCACUGACCCCGGCCGCCGCCGUGCAGUGGCCGCACUUGUACCCACCAUAUCUAGAAUGGGAGACCCAGUCUCAGGUCGCGUGAGGGAUAAAGUCCGCGCCCGGCUUCACUCAGGUACUAGGUUUACCGGUUACCAUUUUUCCCGACAUGUGCUUAGUAUGUUCAAACGUUUGACACAGGUAUCCGCACGUUAAUUCUUAUUCCAAUUUUGUCUCAUAGACAACGCAUCCCCAUGGAUCCGUGUCCACAGACCAUCAUCAUUCCGUUAUCAAAAAUGGAUACAACCAAUUCCUGACCUCGCGCGAGUGCUAGAAAAAUCACUCGACUUCUACCGAGAUCCUGAUUUAGCAUAGCAGCUACUCGACCUAGCAUACUAGUAUCCAUCUCAAAAGGAAUCCUGAGUUCAUGCAACUAGGGUUUCAACCAACUCCUACACUUAAGUGCACGGUACAAGCCUACAAACAUUAAGUGUAGUAAAAUAGCAUAUAUAAACGGUUAUGCAUAAAACCGGGGCUUGCCUUUAAUUUAACACUUAGGUAGUGUUUGUUGGGGGAGGUGCUCGCUUGGCGAGCAUCCACUGGUUAAGUCCAUCCUUUCUUGGGUCGUCCACCGACUGCAUCUUGUGGUUGGCACCACAUCACUUGCACGAUCAUCCUGUCUCGGUCCUAAAUGAGAUGCAAGAUGCAUAUGUAUGAAUAUGAUGAAAUAUAUCACAAGAUAAUCCCAAAAUGGACGGUAGCGAACUAAACAUUAAAUUGUAAGACACUGCGACAAUUGUACGCAAGCACUAGUUAUCUAUACGUCAUCGGGCAUACGUAGUCAAUCAUCACUGGAAAACCACAAACACUUCCUAUAAUUAUCUAUUGCAAACACGACAUCAUAAGUACAAGCAUUCGCCACGUUCACUUUUAUCAUUCAUUGGUUACUUAUUAUUAAACUAGUUAAGUACGCAUAAAUUUACGAUGACUUACACAUAGACAGACUUAGUUAAAAAAGAAUAGUUGCUUAAUCGGGUUUUACAAUCAUUCACAACCUUCUACUGCAAGCAUACACCCCAGAGAACACACAUGAGGAGAUAGUUUAUUCACAAUUACAAAUUGUACUACUUUAAUGACGUUGGUUACUUAGUAGUAUUAACAGAAAGGCAAAGACAAGACAUUAUCAUUUUGUUUCUUCGAACAUAUAACUGCAUUGCUAAGUGUUGAUUAAGCUAAGCUACGUAUUAGACCUUAACCAAUUUAGUUCACUAACUUAGUGAGAUGUGUACUAUUUACUUAUAUAUAACCUGAUUAUAUUAGUUACUAUCAUUGUUACUCAUAUUCACUUAAAACCAAAACAAGCAAGCAAUCACUCAAGUCAAACACAAUAGAGUAGAGCAAUCAAUCACUUCUAACACAUUUAGGACAGCAGCACAGUAGUUUUUGUUUUAAUCAUAACUCUUCAAAUAUUAGUUCAAAAUUAUCAAACUAGGAUUUUCUGGAAAGCUUAAAAAGUGUUCUACAACUUUGAUAUUUUUAUCUCAGCAUGAUUAGACUCUUAGCAAGGCCGAAUUGUGUAAACACAGCAGCUCUGUCCAGAUUUGGACAGAUUCAGACUUGCGACUUCAAAAAUUCACAACUACAGAUUCAGACAUCCAAACAAAGCGAUCCUAGACUUUCUGGAAAGGUAAUAAAAUUUUCUACAUAUCAUUUAUAAACAUAUCAAGGUGAUUCAAUAUUUAACUAAGGACAAAAGACACUAGAAGGCUUUGCUGUCCAGAAUUGGACAGAUUCAGUCUUCAGACUUUAAACAUCCAUAACUUAAUCUUCAGAUCACCAAGAAGAGUGAUCCAAGACUUUUUGAAAAGCUCAGCAAAAGCACUACAUAACUUUUAUAAUCACCAAAAAGUGAUUCCAUGUUUAACUAAAUCAAACAAUACAUUUUUCGAAAUCUGUUCUGUCAGUGGACAGAACACAGCAACCAGUUUGUAAAAUUCAUAAUUCUCAAACUGUCAGGCCUAUGGUUGUGAAAUUUUAACACAAGCAAGAUAAGAAAAGCAUCUAAAAUUUUCUUAUAAUGACCAUGAACAGAUUGUAACAUUAAAUUAGGCAAACAAUGCAGUUUCUGAAAUCUGUACAGAAUUUGGGCAGAUUCAGUUACUGAAUUUGUGAAAAGCACAACUUCUAAAUGAUCAGACGUAUGACUGUCAAGUUUUAACACAAGAACGUUAAUAGAGUUAUCUAUAACUUUAUUGUGACCAUCAAUAACUGAUUUUAACAUUAACUUAAGCAACAAUUGCAAUCUCUGAAAUCUGUUCAAAAAUUGGACAGAUUCAGUUACUAAACUUGUGAAAAGUAUAGCUCCUAAACAAUCAAUUCUUAGCUCAUGCAUUUUUAGGACAAGCUACAUACACAAGUAAACUACAACUUUUAUAUAGCACAUAUCUACAGAAAACACAAUUUACUUUACUAGAUUACUCACACAACCAAAACUGUACAUCCAUAAAAUUCAGUUUGCUAGCACAAGAGCACUUAACUAAAUCACCAAGCAAACUCAUAGAGAUACUAUCACCAAUUUCUUAAAUUCAAACCAUUAUGACCUAGUUGUAAAGUUUUAAUUUAUAUCAAGGCACUUAAGUAUUUCAAGAAACAUGCAUGCCCUUGUUUACUUCUAAUUUUUCACUAAUUGUUCUUAUAAUUAUAAAAUGUGUGUCAUUUUAGUACCAUAUAAAACUAUCUAAUUUGGGGCUGCAAUUUUUAUGAGGCAUAGGUAAUAACAAAUCAUGACCAAUGUAUAAAUUUCACAUGCCCAGGUUUUAUAUUUUAUUUAAUACAAAAAUAACAAUUUGUUAAUGCAAUAAAGCUUGUGAGAGCAACUUAAUUCUAAAAUUAAUUAUUUUCUGUGGAUGCAUGACCAUAUUAAGUUUUCUUAGCCUACUAUAAUGUCAUGCAAGGACAGUGGAACACCAUUUUACAUUUUUGCAUCUAUACAUUAUUUUUAAAUCAUUUAAAACUAUUUAAGGUGCAUUAAACAAGUUAAAUUACUAACUUAAUCAUACAUGCACCACAAUUCAUGAAAUUUUUACCAGUCACUAAGCAUCACACCAAGUGUCUACUGUAAACAUUUGAAUCUAUUUGGAGCACUAGAGCUACAGAUCUAAAAAUAACAAGCAAAUAAACCUUCCUUUCUCUAUUUAACUUGUUUUAAUUAACACACCAAGAAAACAGUGAACAACAUAUAAGUUUUAUAUUUUUCCUUGAUGGGGUAUGACAACAUCUAACUAACAAAACAAGUUUCAUCAUUUUUGGAUUUUUGUAAUUAAAACUAUGGAGAGAUGCAAGUUUGUUUAUUCUCUAAACCUGUUUUUAAAUACGAAUUUUUACAGAAAAACUUUUCCACUAAAACAUGCCAACAUAUAGAUCCAAUAGUUAGAGCAUUUCAUAAGAAAGCCAACAAAACAAAUUUCACGAUUUUAGGAGCUCUAAAACUUGAAAUAUGAAUUUUAGAACACAACACAAAAAUCUGUAAUUAGUGUGCACACUCACAUUGGCCCUGGGCCCACAUGUCAUAGACAGCGGGGGUCUUCUUCUUCCCUUGACUUCUACACGCACAGCAACAGGGGCAAUCUGUAGGGCGCGUGCUCCAGGUCGGCUAAAGAGAAGCUAGGCGCCAAGCUAUAGACUAGAGGGGCGGCAACAAAGAAACAACGAGAGUAAACUCGAUCUGCCCACCCAAGGAGGGCUCAGCUGUCGAAGUUGAAGGGGAUGUCGCCAUGAGAGCUACGUCGGGCACCAGCCAUGGAAAAAAAGGCUUCCCUGCGCUAGAGAGGGGGAGAGGAGGGAGAAGCGCCGUGGAGAGGGGAGGUUCUCGGCCAUGGCAGCAGCAGGGAGGGGCACGGGGUAUAAAUAGAAGGGAGUGAGCUUCAACCAUUGGUGGCGUGGGCGGCAUUGCUGCAGAGCUCAGAGCAGGACAGUCUGCUGGCAGGUGAUGGCAGGACGACUUUGGACGUCCAGUUUUGGCAUCUUCCUCUUGGAAUCGGAUCUUGGCCACUGCACAAAAUAUCUUCCUUGAUGUAUAAUCUACAACUCGUUUAUAGAGAUUGAGGUGAUUCGGGCAGUGGUUAGAAAGUUAUAGACCCACGAAAACUGGUUUGUCAGUGUGUCAGAAAACAGUGGAAACUCGCAAAAACUGAAUGUCAAAGCAUGUCAAACGGAAUCGGAUGAAUGCCACCUUUUAAUAUGUUGUGCCCCUAUUAGUUAUUAACAACUUUUAUAUUUGGGAAAACUUGAAUUGUGCAACAAAAAUUUGGGAACGCGAGACGUCGACUCGAACGAUGCUGAUUUCAGACUUAGAAGAAUUCGAAUUCUGAAAUCUGAUUUUUAUUCUGUCUUGAUGGCACUGUUUGAGAUACUUAGAGAUUGAAUCAAGGUUUGGUUUAAAUAAAAUAUUUGUUGUAUAACACAUGUUCUACAAAUUUUAUUAAAGGUCAAACCUCAUAUCUUGAAUAUAAAUAAAAGUUUCACUUUGGUCAAGGUAGCAUCAUUAUAAUGCUUCAAACUAUAUUUUUAAGGCAAUCGGGGUAUUUUCUCGGUAUUUCCUUGGCAUUUUCUCUACAUGAACCCUUAAUAACUUUUGUUGUAGAGUUGAUUUAGAGUGUUUUGGGAAAGUUGCCAUAACUUGUUUGAAUUUCUAAAUUUGCUUUUACUUAAUCGAGCAGUCUCAGGUAAGCGUAGGAUUUAUAAUUUCACACGAAUAUUUGGUUCAAACUUUAAGAAAUCUUUAGAAUACGCUUGAUAGAUAGAGAUGGAUGAUGACAUAAAUAUAACAAGCUGAAUUGCAUAAUAAAUAAUUAGAGGUUGACACUAUAGAGAUUUCGCUGAAGAAUGCGGAUUCGAAUUAAGUAUUUGGACGUAGACCGACUAUCGAGAAAGCGGAUUCGGACAUAGAUCGGAUAAUAUCACAACUGUUAAGAGUCCAAAUAAAUGAGUCUGGACAAGAGUUAUGAGGCGAUAUUGACUUUCGAAUUUGCAUUUGCUCCGAGAAAUAAAAGUUUUAACAGGCUCCAAAUUUGGUUGUUCUUGAGAUCGAAUAAUUCCAAAUUUGGUGAAACAUUCAUGAGUAACUUGAUGAAUGAAGAUAGAUGUGAUAAAGAGAUAGAAAUUUUCACUGAGCAUCCGAGAUUAGGAUAAAUCUCCCGACAUAACGCGAAAUAGACACCUGGGGUGUC
rnacentral:lncRNA from 1 species